UAGGAGUUCAUAGCAUUUGCUUGAUCGUGCAAGACUUCUUUGAAUGCCGGUAUGGUGGGACAAUCUGUAGUAGUAUGACCCGACAUAUCGCAGAUACCACAACACUCAUUUCUAAGUUCUAUAGUCUUGACAGGCUCAAUCUUCCUAAGCUCAAUUUCUUCUACCUUCCUAGUGAGGGCUGCCAUUUUAGCAUGAAGAUCAUCCU
rnacentral:lncRNA from 1 species